rnacentral:rRNA from 1 species
AUUGAACGCUGGCGACAAGCCUAACACAUGCAAGUCGAACGAGUGGCGGACGGGUGAGUAAUGUCUGGGAAACUGCCUGAUGGAGGGGGAUAACUACUGGAAACGGUAGCUAAUACCGCAUACCAUCGGAUGUGCCCAGAUGGGAUUAGCUAGUAGGUUGGGUAAAGGCUCAACUAGGCGACGAUCCCUAGCUGGUCUGCGAGGAUGCCCAGCCACACUGGAACUGAGAAACGGGCCAGACGCCUACGGGAGGCAGCAGUGGGGAAAAUUGCACAAUGGGCGCAAGCCUGAUGCAGCCAUGCCGCGUGUAUGAAGAAGGCCUUCGGGUUGUAAAGUACUUUCAGCGGGGAGGCGUUACCCGCAGAAGAAGCACCGGCUAACUCCGUGCCAGCAGCCGCGGUAAUAC